UGUGGUGUAGCUUAGUGGUACAGCAUCUGUUUGUUAUUCAGAAAGUUUUAGGUUCAAUACCUGGUAUCUUGA
rnacentral:tRNA from 1 species